rnacentral:rRNA from 1 species
ACUUUAAUUGAAGAGUUUGAUCAUGGCUCAGAUUGAACGCUGGCGGCAGGCCUAACACAUGCAAGUCGAGCGGUAACAGAUUGAUAGCUUGCUAUCAAUGCUGACGAGCGGCGGACGGGUGAGUAAUGCCUGGGAAUAUGCCCUGAUGUGGGGGAUAACUAUUGGAAACGAUAGCUAAUACCGCAUAAUCUCUUCGGAGCAAAGAGGGGGACCUUCGGGCCUCUCGCGUCAGGAUUAGCCCAGGUGGGAUUAGCUUGUUGGUGGGGUAAUGGCUCACCAAGGCAACGAUCCCUAGCUGGUCUGAGAGGAUGAUCAGCCACACUGGAACUGAGACACGGUCCAGACUCCUACGGGAGGCAGCAGUGGGGAAUAUUGCACAAUGGGGGAAACCCUGAUGCAGCCAUGCCGCGUGUAUGAAGAAGGCCUUCGGGUUGUAAAGUACUUUCAGUUGUGAGGAAGGCAGUAAAGUUAAUAGCUUUGCUGUUUGACGUUAGCAACAGAAGAAGCACCGGCUAACUCCGUGCCAGCAGCCGCGGUAAUACGGAGGGUGCGAGCGUUAAUCGGAAUUACUGGGCGUAAAGCGCAUGCAGGUGGUUUGUUAAGCAAGAUGUGAAAGCCCGGGGCUCAACCUCGGAACAGCAUUUUGAACUGGCAGACUAGAGUACUGUAGAGGGGGGUAGAAUUUCAGGUGUAGCGGUGAAAUGCGUAGAGAUCUGAAGGAUACCGGUGGCGAAGCGGCCCCCUGGACAGAUACUGACACUCAGAUGCGAAAGCGUGGGGAGCAAACAGGAUUAGAU